rnacentral:snRNA from 1 species
AUCGCUUCUCGGCCUUUUGGCUAAGAUCAAGUGUAGUAUCUGUGCACACAUGCAGCACCACAA